UGGGGAAUUUUGGACAAUGGGCGCAAGCCUGAUCCAGCCAUGCCGCGUGAGUGAAGAAGGCCUUCGGGUUGUAAAGCUCCUUCGGCUGGGAAGAAAACGCAUGGGUUAAUACCUCAUGUGGAUGACGGUACCAGCACAAGAAGCACCGGCUAACUACGUGCCAGCAGCCGCGGUAAUACGUAGGGUGCGAGCGUUAAUCGGAAUUACUGGGCGUAAAGCGUGCGCAGGCGGUUUAGUAAGACAGGCGUGAAAUCCCCGGGCUCAACCUGGGAACUGCGCUUGUGACUGCUAAGCUAGAGUAUGGAAGAGGGGGGUGGAAUUCCACGUGUAGCAGUGAAAUGCGUAGAGAUGUGGAGGAACACCGAUGGCGAAGGCAGCCCCCUGGGCCAAUACUGACGCU
rnacentral:rRNA from 1 species